rnacentral:rRNA from 1 species
AGUAACGCGUGAGUAACCUGCCUUCAAGAGGGGGAGUAACAUUCUGAAAAGAAUGCUAAUACCGCAUGACAUAUCGGAACCACAUGGUUUUGAUAUCAAAGAUUUUAUCGCUUGAAGAUGGACUCGCGUCCGAUUAGUUAGUUGGUGAGGUAACGGCUCACCAAGACCGCGAUCGGUAGCCGGACUGAGAGGUUGAACGGCCACAUUGGAACUGAGACACGGCCCAGACUCCCUACGGGAGGCAGCAUG